UACAAAGAUAGGACCUCGCUGCU
rnacentral:piRNA from 1 species